rnacentral:rRNA from 1 species
UGCAAGCGUUGUCCGGAAUUAUUGGGCGUAAAGAGCUCGUAGGCGGUUUGUUGCGUCGGCUGUGAAAUCCCGAGGCUCAACCUCGGGUCUGCAGUCGAUACGAGCAAACUAGAGUGUUGCAGGGGAGACUGGAAUUCCUGGUGUAGCGGUGAAAUGCGCAGAUAUCAGGAGGAACACCGGUGGCGAAGGCGGAUCUCUGGGCCGAUACUGACGCUGAGGAGCGAAAGCGUGGGGAGCGAACAGG